UACGGGGGGGGUAAGCGUUGUUCGGAAUUACUGGGCGUAAAGGGCUCGUAGGCGGCCAACUAAGUCAGACGUGAAAUCCCCGGGCUUAACCCGGGAACUGCGUCCGAUACUGGCUGGCUUGAAUCCGGGAGAGGGAUGCGGAAUUCCAGGUGUAGCGGUGAAAUGCGUAGAUAUCUGGAGGAAUACCGGUGGCGAAGGCGGCAUCCUGGACCAUUACUGACGCUGAGGCGCGAAAGCUAGGGGAGCAAACGGG
rnacentral:rRNA from 1 species